rnacentral:misc_RNA from 1 species
CGCCGAAGGUGGGGCUAAUGACUGGGGUGAAGUCGUAACAAGGUAGCCGUACCGGAAGGUGCGGCUGGAUCACCUCCUAACAGGGAGACAACAAAAUGUUUAAUAUUAUUAUUUUGUCACCUUAGGUCGAUCGGUAUCUCACGUUCUUAAUUUAUUAAGAAUUUCAUUUCCUAAGUUUUUCUAGGUCACACCCAUUAUUUUCCUGGGCCAUUAGCUCAGGUGGUUAGAGCGCACCCCUGAUAAGGGUGAGGUCCCUGGUUCAAGUCCAGGAUGGCCCAUAUCUCUAUGUUGGGGGUAUAGCUCAGUUGGUAGAGCGCCUGCUUUGCAAGCAGGAUGUCAGCGGUUCGAGUCCGCUUACCUCCACUGAUUACCACCUCUUCCAUAAUCUGUAGAAAGGAAAAUUUUUUGAGUUGUGAUCCUUAUUCUGAACGAAUCUAGCUUCCUAAUGAAAUCAUUAAGAUGCUGGACUCAUUGAAUUAAUUUCAUUGUUUUCAGAGAACCUUGACAACUGCAUAGAUUAUUUUUUAAGACAAUAAGCAUCUUUAAUGAUGCAGAUUUAUUAUUUGUGCAAAUGCAUUAAUAACAAUUCUAUUAAGCUGAUGCUUCAAUUAUGAAGUUAUUGGUCAAGCUACAAAGGGCUCACGGAGGA